AGACUUAUCUGGCAGGGGAAAUACUGUGAUCACAAAGCUUGUUUUCCCAGGAUGAGGCUUAUCCAUUGGACUCAGCACGUGCUGACCCCCUGCUAUUUUCCCCAAAUGUGGGAAGCAUGACAGCAUCAUUUGUGGUAGUGGAGGAUUGUGUUUACUCUCUCCCCUG